AAAAAAAAAAACUUGCACACUCUCUGAGAGCUCAACUGUGCAUGCACUUUUCUAUUUGCUGCUUUAUGGGAAAGUUGUCUCUCCCUCUCCUCAUCCCUCCCCUCUUUUUUUCCCCUGCCGGUCUCUGCGUCUGUCAUGUGCCUGGGAUGUGCUCAUGCUUUUGGCACAGAGCGGCCGUUGCGCGCCGCCUAAUGCGGGUUACAAAGUGGCAGCACCAGUUUUAAAGUCUCCCCCCCCUCUUAAGCAACCAACAAACCGACCAACUACCCACCAACCCGGCAUGUUUAAACGCCUGGGAUUUUUAGUUACUCCCCCCGCCCCCCUCCCACCUCCAAGAGGAACAUUUACCUACACAUCAUACCACGAUACACACGGACGUCGUUGUUCUUCUGCUUCUGCCGCCUUGGACACUUUCUGAUUCCCUGGCAGUCAUCUGGCUGGACCGUGAGAAACAGUAACGCAGUAAUGGAGAAAUGGAGCAACAGGCAGCUGCAGGAUGCAGAAAGAGGAAGCAAUCACAGAAUCUCAGGAAUUUUGAUUGCCACUGGAUCUGUAUGAGGUUGCUUGACCAUCAUGAGCCUUAAGUGACCAAACCCUCAACACUGAAGACAUAAAGAACAUGCAUGCAAUUUCUAAGGUGGAGAGUUAUUCAAAGGAAGAAGAGAGGAGGCUGAUGUUCCACAAGAGGAAGAUUUGAGAUUCACUGGACUCAUUUUGCAUCAAAAUAGCAGGACAUUGAUCCAGUUCAGCAUCACCGAACAAUCAAGCAAGGCUUUUGUUUGAGAGGAAAUUUUUACAAGCCAAAAGAUUCACGAAUAGGUUGAGUAGUGUAAUAGAACAACACCAGACCCAAAAGUAAUGACAUACAUGUGCUGCUAAAUGUUUGUAGCUAUACCAUGAAAUAAAAGUUACAUUCACAAAAUGAUA